UGUCUUCUGACCAUUUCUUGACUGGAUUUUUUCUUUUAUGGGUGUUGAGUUUGAUAAAUUCUUUAUAGAUUUGGAUACUAGCCCUUUAUCUGGUAAGACAUUGGCAAAUAAGUCAGUAGAUAUUUUCUUAAACUAAAAAUGUCAAAAUAAAAGUAUAUGCAGGAUAUUUUAAAAUAUGGAUGCAAAUACUUGAAGAAAUAACUGAAAGAGUUUGUUUAAAAAAAAGAAGCAAAAAUUCAGAGAAUUUGUUAUGUAUGAGAGGGGGUGGGAAUGGGAUGAAAAGGGUAGGGAAAGGAGUGACACUUCUCUGAGUACAUCUUUUUGUGUAGUACUGACUUUUACAACCAUGUUAACAUUUUACUUGUUCAAAAAAAAAAUAAAAUAAGUAAGAAUAUAAAACUCCUAAAUUGAAUACAAACAAAUCCAACUGAUUUCAAAUAAAAAAAGAUUAACACAAGCAAUUAUUGAACAUAAUAACUGACUAUCUACCUUCAGUCUUCAGAUGGAAGAACCACAAACAAAUUUUGGAACUUUACUAAAAGGUUGGUUUUUCACAGUGAUACGGGUUCCACAAUUCUGAAGCUAUUGAAGGAUGGAGCAAAAUUGAGCAAAUGAGGAAAUGAUGAUUCUCACUGUUGGAGACAGCAGAUGCUCUUUGGAGUGGCAAGAAUCCUGUCCUAUCUGAUUGGAAUUGCAGAUGUCAGUAUGAACUCAUUUUUAGUUUGCUUCUCUCUAUUCUUUCCCUUUUUUCCCUGCCUCAUGUUUGAAAGGAUGAUUUUUCCUGAUUCCUAAGCUGGUGGGAAUGGACAGAUCUUGUCACAGUCAAAAUGACAUAUGGGACAUGAGAGUCUGUUUAUUUCUAGGGUGGCAGCAUCAGCAGAGAGCAAACAAUCACCCCAGGUCUAUCUUCUGCCACCAAACAGAAGACGAAGAGUCCCAGAACCAUCAAAUUGUCCUUGUUCCCAACUCUGGCAGAUUGUUUCUUGCAUCUUUGUUGUCAAUAAAUUAUACAAAGGAAGCAAACCAACGCAAAAACCAAAAAAGUAGGUCUAACUUCUUUUGAUUGAUAGAACACUGUCCGAAGAUACAUGGUGAUUAAGAAAUGACUUCUUCAUGUCGCUAAAGCAAUAAGAUCUGGAUCAGAAUUUCAAGGACAGGAAAGCAGAUGGGAUUGGGUUACAUGAAGGCAUAAACUGGAGCCAUUUGGUGCAUGCACUGUGCCCCAUCAGGCCGUGGACGUGCCCAGGUGGUUUCUGUAAUACAAAGUUAAAAAUGGCUUCCACGUAUCCAUAUAACCAACUGCUCUUCUUCCCUCUGGUUAAAAGAAUAGACUGGACAAAAAAUGGACUACUAUGUAGUAAUAAAAAAGAAUAUAAUUACCAAAUCAUGGAUGAGUCUCAAAAAUUCCUACUAAACAGAGAUACACACACAAGAGUAGACUGGAGGGAGCCCGCUUGAGUUAAAACGCCAGCUCCACCACAUAAGGCAAGUAGUUUAGCCUCUAGGGCUGCUUCUCAUCUGUGAAGUAAGAUGACAGCAGCACGCACCUAACCGGGCGGAUCCGAAGUGUGAGCUCACGUAGUCGUUCCCACGGAAGUUCCCUCGAGGACUUGCGCCCUUCCGUCCAUUCCGGUUUUGCCCUGUGCUAUCCCAGUUGCUGCUGCAGCCACACCUCUCACCCGACCCACCCUCUUCCUCCACAC